rnacentral:misc_RNA from 1 species
UUGAUAAGCGUGAGGUCGGAGGUUCAAGUCCUCCCAGGCCCACCAAUUUAUGCUUGUUUUUUGCUUAAUCUUUAAGCGUAUGAAGCUUUAGCGUAUGAGAGCCUCUUUAAUCUUUAGCUUGUUUUAAAGAUUUAAUUUUAUCAUUCAGAAAUUAUUUGUUAAGUUUAUCUCAUUAAAUUGAUCAAAAAGAAGUUUAUGAAUUUGUCUCCUAUUUUCUUUCUUAAAGAGAAGUUUGUCCAAGAGAAUUUUAAAACCCCUUCAAGGGUAUGAAAAAAUUUAAAGGGAUAUAGAGAGAAAUAAAAAAGUACGAAGCAAAUUUAAAUGAUACAAAUCAAAAUGAAACAAGUCAUUUCAAGUUGAUGAAUAUGCUUGAGGUUUCUUUGAGAAAGCUUUAUUUAGGGGCCGUAGCUCAGCUGGGAGAGCACCUGCUUUG